rnacentral:lncRNA from 1 species
GGUGUAUAUCUCCGUGUUGUGAGCCACCCAACAGACACUAUGGUGUGUAGUAUUCCGUGUAGAGCCACCACAGACACUAUGGUGUAGUUCUCAGUGUAGAGCCACCAACAGACAUUAA